rnacentral:tRNA from 1 species
CCUUCGGUAGCUCAGUUGGUAGAGCGGUGGACUGUAGUGGUUGAACAAUCUCAGAUAUCCAUAGGCCGCUGGUUCAAAUCCGGCCCGAAGGA